rnacentral:rRNA from 1 species
AAUCAACGCUGGCGGCGUGCCUCAGACAUGCAAGUCGAACGCGAAAGUUUCCUUCGGGAGACAAGUAGAGUGGCGCACGGGUGAGUAACACGUAGGUAAUCUACCUUUGGAUGGGGAAUAACAACCGGAAACGGUUGCUAAUACCGCAUAAUGCAGCGGCACCUAAUGGUGACAGUUGUUAAAGCGGGGGAUCGAAAGACCUCGCGUCUAAAGAGGAGCCUGCGGCGGAUUAGCUAGUGGUAAGGUAAUGGCUUACCAAGGCUACGAUCCGUAACCGGCCUGAGAGGGCGGUCGGUCACACUGACACUGACAUACGGGUCAGACUCCUACGGGAGGCAGCAGUCGGGAAUUUUGGGCAAUGGGCGAAAGCCUGACCCAGCAACGCCGCGUGAAGGAUGAAAUCCCUCGGGAUGUAAACUUCGCAAGAAC